CACCCGCAGCACAAGUGGUGGUCACUUUUAUUGAGCCUAAAGCGUUCGUAGCCGGUUCUGUAAAUCUUUAGAUAAAGCCUGAAGCUUAACUCCAGAAAGUCUGAAGAGACUGCAAGACUUGAGAUCGGGUGAGGUUAAACGUACUUUCAGGGUAGGGGUAAAAUCCUGUAAUCCCGGAAGGACGACCAGUGGCGAAAGCGUUUAACUAGAACGAAUCUGACGGUAAGGAACGAAGGCUAGGGUAGCAAACCGGAUUAGAUACCCGGGUAGUCCUAGCUGUAAACACUGCCCAUUUGAUGUUGCUUUUCCGUUGAGGGAAGGCAGUGUCGGAGCGAAGGUGUUAAAUGGGCCGCUUGGGAAGUAUGGUCGCAAGACUGAAAGUUAAAGGAAUUGGCGGGGGAGCACCGCAACGGGAGGAAUGUGCGGUUUAAUUGGAUUCAACGCCGGAAAACUCACCGGGAACGACCUGUGCAUGAGAGUCAACCUGACGAGUUUACUCGAUAGCAGGAGAGGUGGUGCAUGGCCGUCGUCAGCUCGUACCGUAGGGCGUUCACUUAAGUGUGAUAACGAGCGAGACCCACAUCUUUAAUUGCAAAUGUAUAUGAGAAUAUGCAUGCACUUUAGAGAAACCGCCAGCGCUAAGCUGGAGGAAGGAGUGGUCGACGGCAGGUCAGUACGCCCCGAAUUUCCCGGGCUACACGCGCAUUACAAAGAACGGGACAAUACGUUGCAACCUCGAAAGGGGAAGCUAAUCGCGAAACCCGUCCAUAGUUAGGAUUGAGGGCUGUAACUCGCCCUCAUGAAUCUGGAUUCCGUAGUAAUCGCGGGUCAACAACCCGCGGUGAACAUGCCCCUGCUCCUUGCACACACCGCCCGUCAAACCAUCCGAGUUGGUGUUGGAUGAGGUUUAAUUCGAGAGGGUUAAAUCAAAUCUGAUGUCGGUGAGGAGGGUU
rnacentral:rRNA from 1 species